AGGGAGGGUGCCCUGGGCUCACGUGCCAGCCCUCUAACCACACUAACGAUCUAGGCCCACCAGGCACAGCAGCAAGAAGGCUGGGACCCCAGCCAAGGGCAAAGUCGGCGGGCGCUGGAAGUAGAGAGGCCAGAAAGGCCCCUCGAGGCAGAGACCCUCCGCCCUCUUGCACACCAGGGCCGCUCGUGGGACUCCACAUCCUCCAGCCCCCACAAUCCUGUCAGGGGCUCCUUGACAGUCCUGGGGGUGGAGAGGCCAUCCCGGGGCAUCCCCCGCAUCUCUGUCGUUGCUGCCUCCAUCCUCUGGGGCCUGUGAAUAAAGCCGCAGACCCCCC
rnacentral:sRNA from 1 species